rnacentral:rRNA from 1 species
UGAAUCCGGUAAUCGUGGUCAUACGUCUUGUUUACCUGUAACACACGACGGCCAGGUGGAUCCGGAAUCCUGGACAUAGAUGUUUCCUGGAAAACGACGGCCUGAGAAUCCGAAAUCGUGGCCAAAGGUGUUUCCUGGGAAAGGCACAGCCCGUGAAUCCGGAGUGGAGGACAGAAGCUGUGCCCCGUGAAUCAACGGCGGACGGGUGAGUAAUGCCUAGGAAUCUGCCUGGCAGUGGGGGACAACGUUUCGAAAGGAACGCUAAUACCGCAUACGUCCUACGGGAGAAAGCAGGGGACCUUCGGGCCUUGCGCUAUCAGAUGAGCCUAGGUCGGAUUAGCUUGUUGGUGAGGUAAUGGCUCACCAAGGCGACGAUCCGUAACUGGUCUGAGAGGAUGAUCAGUCACACUGGAACUGAGACACGGUCCAGACUCCUACGGGAGGCAGC